rnacentral:rRNA from 1 species
AGUGAACGCUGGCGGUAGGCCUAACACAUGCAAGUCGAACGGCAGCACAGUAAGAGCUUGCUCUUACGGGUGGCGAGUGGCGGACGGGUGAGGAAUACAUCGGAAUCUACUUUUUCGUGGGGGAUAACGUAGGGAAACUUACGCUAAUACCGCAUACGACCUACGGGUGAAAGCAGGGGAUCUUCGGACCUUGCGCGAUUGAAUGAGCCGAUGUCGGAUUAGCUAGUUGGCGGGGUAAAGGCCCACCAAGGCGACGAUCCGUAGCUGGUCUGAGAGGAUGAUCAGCCACACUGGAAGUGAGACACGGUCCAGACUCCUACGGGAGGCAGCAGUGGGGAAUAUUGGGCAAUGGGCGCAAGCCUGAUCCAGCCAUACCGCGUGGGUGAAGAAGGCCUUCGGGUUGUAAAGCCCUUUUGUUGGGAAAGAAAAGCAGCAGGUUAAUACCCCGCUGUUCUGACGGUACCCAAAGAAUAAGCACCGGCUAACUUCGUG